rnacentral:lncRNA from 1 species
CAACUUGGGACAAGCAGGGCGAACACAACUUGUUGACGGCUUGUUAGCAGACUUGCUACAAGAUGUGAGAUUUUUACGUGUGCAUAUAGUUAUCGAAUUCGGUCAGUGCCAGUGUAGAUAACCAAGAUAAAGAUACAAGUCAUACAACUACCUGAAAAAUCUAAGCUGAGUUUUGACGUUUCUCGAGCGGCUUCGCCCUUUGUCGGGAAGUAAAUAGCGUUACUAUUAGCAUUCGCACGCAAAAAUCUCACAUCAUGUAGCAAGUCUACCAACAAACCGUCAACAAGUUUGCAACAAGCUGUUAACAGCUUGUAACAAGCUUGUUGAUAUUAUCCGACUUGUUUCAGGGUUGUUCCAACACGUCCGAUACAGUCAUGAUAUAACAAUGUUGUUAAAACCUUGUUUCGUCAACCUUGUAACAUUCUUGUCAUAUCAUGAAUGUAUCAGACGGUUAGGACAACCUUGUAGCAAGUCUGAUAAUGCCAUCAAGCUUGUUGCAAGUUGUUAACAGCUUGUUCCAAACUUGUUACAACAACUGGGAACAAGCAGUGCGAACACAGCUUGUCGACAGCUUGAAAACAGACUUGUUACAACUUGUUUGCAGACCCGUAACAACGUACUUGUGCGUUUUUACGUUUUACGUUGUAUAUGGUGGAUGACGAAGGGCUUUUGUGGAGAUGGAAUUUCAAGCGAAAUUUAUAUAUACAUAUUCAGACCAUUUCCAGUUUACGAAAAGAAUACAACAUCUAUCAGGGAAGAAAAAUACACAACAGGUAACAGGAAGUGCUGCUGAAUCACUUUUUAGUAGGCACAAGUCACAACUGUACAAGUGCAUACAGCUAUUUCAAUUAAGGUUGUCCACGAGUAAAGCGGAAAAGUCGAAUACGAGCGCGAAAGGCUGCUAGGAAUCGCUUUGAAAAUUCAUUAAUUUGUUAGCGAUUCUCAGCAGCCUUUCGCGCUCGUAUUCGACAUUUCCGCUUUGCUCGUGGACAACCUUAAUUGAAAUAGCUGUAUACACAGCGCAGUAAAUGUGCAUGAUACAGUGGAACUAAUCAUAAUUUAAUCAAUCGCGUAAUAAGAAGGUCGUGCCCACAAAAGUCUUCGUCAGCAAUUUCAUUGUCGGCUUCAAUUAACCUUUUCUGCAUCUUAUCUUGCAAAACUAAUUUACAUUAAAGAGUUUUAUUCGUAAAAUAUAUUUAUUAAUAAUAUAAAUUUUCAUGAAUUUUUUAUGAAGUGCUCUUCCAAAUUGCCAAGUGUUAAAUAAUUCGACUGAGUCUGAGCAUGGAUUGUAAAAUAACAGGAUAGGAAAGUCUAAACCUAGUUGCAAUCUGUGACGUCACGCGUAUUGCCAAAGUUCUCAGCAUUUUUGUUGUUUCGCUAUAUUUUCCGCUUUAAAAGAGUAAUAUUGAAGCAUAAACUAGUCUAAUUGUUUUAAAAACAUGCCUAAGCCACGACAAA